rnacentral:rRNA from 1 species
AUUGAACGCUGGCGGCAGGCCUAACACAUGCAAGUCGAACGAGUGGCGGACGGGUGAGUAAUGUCUGGGAAACUGCCUGAUGGAGGGGGAUAACUACUGGAAACGGUAGCUAAUACCGCAUACCGCACAUUGUGCCAUGAGGGGAUUAGCUUGUUGGGGGGGUAACGGCUCACAAGGGCGACGAUCCCUAGCUGGUCUGAGAGGAUGACCAGCCACACUGGAACUGAGACACGGUCCAGACUCCUACGGGAGGCAGCAGUGGGGAAUAUUGCACAAUGGGCGCAAGCCUGAUGCAGCCAUGCCGCGUGUAUGAAGAAGGCCUUCGGGUUGUAAAGUACUUUCAUCGGGGAGGCGUUACCCGCAGAAGAAGCACCGGCUAACUCCGUGCCAGCCGCCGCGGUAAUUC